GAUGAAGAACGUAGUGAAAUGCGAUAAGUAAUGUGAAUUGCAGAAUUCAGUGAAUCAUCGAAUCUUUGAACGCACAUUGCGCCCCUUGGUAUUCCGGGGGGCAUGCCUGUUCGAGCGUCAUUAUAACCCCUCAAGCUCAGCUUGGUGUUGGGGCCUGCUGCACUGGCAGCCCUUAAAAUCAGUGGCGGCGCCAUCUGGCUCUAAGCGUAGUAAUUCUUCUCGCUAUGGAGUCCUGGUGGAUGCUUGCCAUCAACCCCCAAUUUUUCUAUGGUUGACCUCGGAUCAGGUAGGGAUACCCGCUGAACUUAAGCAUAUCAAUAAGCGGAGGA
rnacentral:misc_RNA from 1 species